rnacentral:rRNA from 1 species
ACGCGCGGAACCUUACCAGGUCUUGACAUCCCAUUGACCGCUAUGGAGACAUAGCUUUCCCUUCGGGGACAGUGGUGACAGGUGGUGCAUGGUUGUCGUCAGCUCGUGUCGUGAGAUGUUGGGUUAAGUCCCGCAACGAGCGCAACCCUUGAUCUUAGUUGCCAGCAUUUAGUUGGGCACUCUAAGGUGACUGCCGGUGACAAACCGGAGGAAGGUGGGGAUGACGUCAAAUCAUCAUGCCCCUUAUGACCUGGGCUACACACGUGCUACAAUGGACGGUACAAACGGUUGCCAACCCGCGAGGGGGAGCUAAUCCGAUAAAACCGUUCUCAGUUCGGAUUGUAGGCUGCAACUCGCCUACAUGAAGCCGGAAUCGCUAGUAAUCGCGGAUCAGCAUGCCGCGGUGAAUACGUUCCCGGGCCUUGCACACACCGCCCGU